rnacentral:tmRNA from 1 species
GCAUAGUAUCCACCGUUAUCGGGCUAAACACUAUCAAGUGCCAACGACAACGUUGCUCUUGCCGCUGCGGCUUAACCCGUAAGCGCGGUUCGGGGGGGCACCGGGCAACAGAAGCCCCCCCACU